rnacentral:rRNA from 1 species
UGAGUUUGAUCCUGGCUCAGGAUGAACGCUGGCGGCGUGCCUAAUACAUGCAAGUCGAGCGAACGGACGAGAAGCUUGCUUCUCUGAUGUUAGCGGCGGACGGGUGAGUAACACGUGGAUAACCUACCUAUAAGACUGGGAUAACUUCGGGAAACCGGAGCUAAUACCGGAUAAUAUUUUGAACCGCAUGGUUCAAAAGUGAAAGACGGUCUUGCUGUCACUUAUAGAUGGAUCCGCGCUGCAUUAGCUAGUUGGUAAGGUAACGGCUUACCAAGGCAACGAUGCAUAGCCGACCUGAGAGGGUGAUCGGCCACACUGGAACUGAGACACGGUCCAGACUCCUACGGGAGGCAGCAGUAGGGAAUCUUCCGCAAUGGGCGAAAGCCUGACGGAGCAACGCCGCGUGAGUGAUGAAGGUCUUCGGAUCGUAAAACUCUGUUAUUAGGGAAGAACAUAUGUGUAAGUAACUGUGCACAUCUUGACGGUACCUAAUCAGAAAGCCACGGCUAACUACGUGCCAGCAGCCGCGGUAAUACGUAGGUGGCAAGCGUUAUCCGGAA